GAAUUGAAAGCUAACACCAUAAGCAGCGACCUUGUAAGUCGAAGAUAGAGAAUACUCUCAAUUCU
rnacentral:tRNA from 1 species